ensembl:lncRNA
GCUGAUAAUCCAGGAAGUAAGCAAAAGCAAUUUAGAAAGGGUCAGAGGCAUUAUUUCUUAAAGUUAACAGCCUUCACUCUAAGACUGGGAUGAGACAUUGUGACAACUGUUCUUAUUGCUGACUUACACAUCUUUGGGUAAGAACUCUGCACUUAGCGAGCUUGUAUUCUUCCUUCUUUUAUUUGGCUAGUCAUUUUGAGCACACCAGCAUCCUUGGAGGCAGUCACAAAGUAUUACCAGAGCAUGGAAUGCCAGCACUCUUCCAGGUGUAGCUUCAAGAGAAUGAUCCAUGGUUUGCCACAAGAAGACAUUCGAGCAGAGAAGCAACAAGCAGCAGCCUGGACAGAGGCUACUGAGGCACACAGGGAAGUGGCUCAGCUCCUCCUAGCAGGAUCCAAGGCAGGAUCCAAGGAAGCAGGUUAAUUUACUGUGAGGCAGAGAUGUGUCCUACUGAAUACUAGGCCCCAUUAACUUAAUAUGCUGUGAAGUUCACACCCUUUGCACUAAAAUAUAGGAAACACAUUAUCUGGCCAGUUAAUUCACCUAAGGAGCUGCAGCAAGUAGAGGCAGGUAUUUUCAACACAAAUAAAAUAAGUUUGGUGUGAAUUAACCCUUGA